rnacentral:rRNA from 1 species
GUCAGUAAGAACGUCAGUGUUUCCUGCGCGUCCACGCAAGGUAAACGCGAACAAUUCAGCGGCUUUAACCGGACGCUCGACGCCAUUAAUAAUGUUUUCCGUAAAUUCAGCGCCUUCCAUGAUGAGACAGGCCGUUUGAAUGUUGACGGGAUGAACAUAAUAAGCAAUGACGGCAGCAAUAAACUCAACAGGAGCAGGAAAGCGAGGGUAUCCU